rnacentral:rRNA from 1 species
UACGUAGGGGGCUAGCGUUGUCCGGAAUCAUUGGGCGUAAAGCGCGCGUAGGCGGCCAGAUAAGUCCGGUGUGAAAGUCACAGGCUCAACCUGUGAAUGCCGCUGGAAACUGUCUGGCUAGAGUCCGGAAGAGGCGAGUGGAAUUCCUGGUGUAGCGGUGGAAUGCGCAGAUAUCAGGAAGAACACCCGUGGCUAAGGCGGCUCUCUAGUACGGUACUGACGCUGAGACGCGAAAGCGUGGGGAGCGAACAGG